GAACUUAAGCAUAUCAAUAAGCGGAGGAAAAGAAACCAACAGGGAUUGCCUCAGUAACGGCGAGUGAAGCGGCAACAGCUCAAAUUUGAAAUCUGGCCGCAAGGUCCGAGUUGUAAUUUGUAGAGGAUGCUUUUGGCGAGGUGCCUUCCGAGUUCCCUAGAACGGGACGCCAUAGAGGGUGAGAGCCCCGUACGGUAGGACCACCAAGCCUCUGUAAAGCUCCUUCGACGAGUCGAGUAGUUUGGGAAUGCUGCUCUAAAUGGGAGGUGUACGUCUUCUAAAGCUAAAUACCGGCCAGAGACCGAUAGCGCACAAGUAGAGUGAUCGAAAGAUGAAAAGCACUUUGAAAAGAGGGUUAAAAAGUACGUGAAAUUGUUGAAAGGGAAGCAUUCAUGACCAGACUUGGGCUUGGUUGAACAUCCGGCGUUCUCGCCGGUGCACUCUGCCAGUCCAGGCCAGCAUCAGUUUGCCCCGGGGGAUAAAGGCGGCGGGAAUGUGGCUCCCUUCGGGGAGUGUUAUAGCCCGUCGUGUAAUGCCCUGGGGCGGACUGAGGAACGCGCUUCGGCACGGAUGCUGGCGUAAUGGUCAUCAAUGACCCGUCUUGAAACACGGACCAAGGAGUCGUCUUCGUAUGCGAGUGUUCGGGUGUCAAACCCCUACGCGUAAUGAAAGUGAACGUAGGUGAGAGCUUCGGCGCAUCACCGACCGAUCCUGAUGUUCUCGGAUGGAUUUGAGUAAGAGCAUACGGGGCCGGACCCGAAA
rnacentral:rRNA from 1 species